ACCAGCUCCUGGCCUUCAUGUCUGCCUUAGCUACUAAACCCAGCAGAACCAUUUCUACUGACAGGAGAUGAGCAAAGAAGACUGUGUCAUCUUGAAGAAGCUAGAAGAAUGGCAAAUUCAUUUGACGUUAUCCUAACCGUUGAUCAUGCUUGAGCAAUCUUAUAGAAUUCAUCAAGAAAGUCAAUGUGGAGGGAGGAACUGCACAGAUUCAAGAGCUUCUACAAAAUUGAGGCAAAGGGCAUUAAAGAUUACUUAUGGGAUUCCAGUUGAAAAGCAGCAGAACACUUCUGAACAAAUCUUACCCUAACACAAGAGCCAACGAGCUGUGAAUCUUUGUGACUACCCAAUGGGGCUAUGCUCUGGGAAAUCUUCCAGUCCUGUUGCUUCAGGCCUGAACAAAGAUGAUACAAAGGCAGAGGAUGUAGAAAGUACAGGGGAUUUGCAAAGCAGUGUUGAAGAAACCCUUUUAACAACAAGUGUCAGAAGGCUGUCUAGCACCAGUCCCACAGCAGAACUGUGUAUCAUCAAACCUAACACCGAACUCUAUCCAGCGGCAUCUGAAGAGAAGGCUGUGCAAUCUGUCUCCUAUGUUAAUGAAAAUGAUGGGAUGGAGAUAAUAGAUAUUGAUUGAAUUAUCUUAUGGAGAGAAGGCAGAAGAAUGGGGUUAAGAGGGAUAAUGGAAUAGCGGAGCAGACCUCAAUGGCCUAACUCUGCUCCUAUCUCCUACGGUCUUCUGUGCAUAUACGGAAUUGUGUAAACUUUUGUAUGAAUUUAAAAUGGAGUUCAAGAUGUUUUUGUUGUAUUUUUCAAUCAAAGUGAGCUUGAGCGCUCUAAAAUCUGUAAAAGACUCUGGUUUAACUCUCAGAAGUACUCAACCAAGCUGACAUUUUGA